CAACUCCUGGGCUCAAGUGAUCCUCCCACCUCAGCCUCCCAAAGUGCUAGGAUUACAUAAGUGAGCCACCUCGCCCAGCUUCCAUUUACUCAUCUUGCAAACUGGGGAUUAUUCCUUCUCUACCUCACAGACCUGUUGUAAGUAUAAAAUGAGAUACUAUACAAAAGACAAAAACAAAAACAAAACAACAACAACAAAAAAAAACACUUUGGAAAGUAAUAAAAGCUAUACAAAUGCUCAUAUCUUAUUUUUAUUCUUUGUCUACUUCCUAGGGGAAGAGUAAUCUAAAAAACACUGCAAUGGCCUAUGUUCUAGGUUUCAUGGGAAGGCUGACGUAUUUUGAUGUGUGUAUACUAUCCAUAUACUGUGCACUCCUAAGGACCAAUAAUGAUUGAGGUAGAGUAUCUGCAACGAUGUAGGGGGUCACAAAGGAAUCGCUUUUACAAAUGCAGAGAGCUAUAAGUAGUGCCUCAAGCAAUUUCAAAAUGUGGAGGCACAGUAAGCCUCACUCUGCCUGCAUUCUAGGUGGCCUUCGUGAUCCACCCCUUGAAUGAGGGCUUUGAGGAGGGGGCGGGUUGCCUUUGCUGCUUUCAGAUCCUGGGGAGCCAAAGCCUCCCCUGACUCGUUGGUCUGAAAUUGCUUUCGUGGUCUGCCAGGGAGAAUCCUGCCAGGAAGAGCCAACCUACUUGGGGUUGGGGUUGGCUGUUCCAGCUGUUUACCAAUUGCCUCUCACUUGUAAAGUGUAGCUUUAAUUAUAGUUUUGCCAGAAUUCAUUUUAGGAAUGGCCACUAACAAUGAUUUACUUGGGGAAACCUGUAAGCAACUGUGUCAAGCCACGUGCAGUGAAACCUGAAUUAACUGAAAUCUCAUUAACUAGAAUACAUAUUUCCUGCUCACCUCAUUAAAAAUGGGAGAACAAAGAACAUAACACAUGAACUGAGUUCCUAUUACAUGUCAGACACUUCACUACGCACUGGAACUACAUACAGUGCAAAGAAUGGACAGGCAUUCUAGGAACUGACUGUCUUCCUAAAUGGAAAUCUGCUGUUUAAUUCCAGUCAACUAGCAGGGGCUCCAAGACUUGCUGUUAAGCCAGACAGUAAAUCAAGUCACUGUUCUUUUAAGAUUGUUUCCUUUGGCCCGGUUUCAUGGGCCUUAUGUUGCAGAAACCUCUAUGGACUUCCUCUUCAGGAUUUGCUUCCAAGCAGGAUGUUUUGCCAGCUGCCCCGAGUCCCCAGUGCAAUAGCUGCGGCAAUCAGUUUGGUGACUAACAGCAGGCUCUCCAUUUAAAUCAUAAACUACAUGGCUCUGGACCCCAAAAAUGUCCUUCAGAGCAGAAGAACACAGGAUUUCA
rnacentral:lncRNA from 1 species